rnacentral:rRNA from 1 species
GAUGUACGCUGGCGGCGUGCCUAAUACAUGCAAGUCGAGCGAAUGGAUUAAGAGCUUGCUCUUAUGAAGUUAGCGGCGGACGGGUGAGUAACACGUGGGUAACCUGCCCAUAAGACUGGGAUAACUCCGGGAAACCGGGGCUAAUACCGGAUAACAUUUUGAACCGCAUGGUUCGAAAUUGAAAGGCGGCUUCGGCUGUCACUUAUGGAUGGACCCGCGACGCAUUAGCUAGUUGGUGAGGUAACGGCUCACCAAGGCAACGAUGCGUAGCCGACCGGAGAGGGUGAUCGGCCACACUGGGACUGAGACACGACCCAGACUCCUACGGGAGGCAGAAGUAGGAAAUCUUCCGCAAUGGACGAAAGUCUGACGGAGCAACGCCGCGUGAGUGAUGAAGGCUUUCGGGUCGUAAAACUCUGUUGUUAGGGAAGAACAAGUGCUAGUUGAAUAAGCUGACACCUUGACGGUACCUAACCAGAAAGCCACGGCUAACUACGUGCCAGCAGCCGCCGUAA